rnacentral:rRNA from 1 species
ACGUAUGUCGCAAGCGUUAUCCGGAAUUAUUGGGCAUAAAGCGCGUCUAGGCGGUUUAUUAAGUCUGAUGUGAAAAUGCGGGGCUCAACUCCGUAUUGCGUUGGAAACUGGUAGACUAGAGUAUUGGAGAGGUAGGCGGAACUACAAGUGUAGAGGUGAAAUUCGUAGAUAUUUGUAGGAAUGCCAAUUGGGAAGCCAGCUUACUGGACAAAUACUGACGCUGAAGCGCGAAAGCUAGGGGAGCAAACAGGAUUAGAUACCCUGGUAGUCCUAGCUGUAAACGAUGAUCACUGGGUGUGGGGGGUCGAACCUCCGUGCCGAAGUUAAUGCGAUAAGUGAUCCGCCUGGGGAGUACGUUCGCAAGAAUG